GUAGCCGGCUGAGUAAGUUUCCCGUUAAAUCCAGCGUCUCAAGCGUUGGACUGCGGGAAAUACUGCUCGGCUAGAGAGUGGGAGAGGUCAACGGUAUUCUGGGGGUAGGGGCGAAAUCCUUUGAUCCCCGGAGGACCACCAGUGGCGAAGGCUGUUGACAAGAACACGUCUGACGGUCAGGGACGAAAGCUGGGGUAGCGAACCGGAUUAGAUACCCGGGUAGUCCCAGCCGUAAACGAUGCAUGCUAGGUGUUAGGUUGGCCACGUGCCACCCUAGUGCCGCAGGGAAGCCGUUAAGCAUGCCACCUGGGGAGUACGGCCGCAAGGCUGAAACUUAAAGGAAUUGGCGGGGGAGCACCACCAGGCGUGAAGCCUGCGGUUUAAUUGGAGUCAACGCCGGGAAUCUUACCGGGAGCGACAGCAGAGUGAAGGCCAGGCUGAAGACCUUGCCAGACAAGCUGAGAGGAGGUGCAAGGCCGUCGCCAGUUCGUGCCGUGAGGUGUUCUCUUAAGUGAGAUAACGAACGAGACCCGUGCCACAUGUUGCCAUCAGAUCCUAUAGGGAUGCUGGGCACUCUUGUGGGACCGCAGCCGAUAAGGCUGAGGAAGGUGCGGGCAACGGCAGGUCAGUAUGCCCCGAAUCUCCCGGGCCACACGCGGGCUGCAAUGGUACGGACAGAGGGCUGCAACCCCGAAAGGGGAAGCCAAUCCCUAAACCGUAUCUCAGUUGGGAUUGAGGGCUGCAACCCGCCCUCAUGAACAUGGAAUGCCUAGUAACUGCACGUCAUCAUCG
rnacentral:rRNA from 1 species